rnacentral:rRNA from 1 species
UACGUAGGGUGCAAGCGUUAUUCGGAAUUACUGGGCGUAAAGCGUGCGCAGGCGGCUAUGCAAGACAGAUGUGAAAUCCCCGGGCUCAACCUGGGAACUGCAUUUGUGACUGCAUGGCUAGAGUACGGUAGAGGGGGAUGGAAUUCCGCGUGUAGCAGUGAAAUGCGUAGAUAUGCGGAGGAACACCGAUGGCGAAGGCAAUACCCUGGACCUGCACUGACGCUCAUGCGCGAAAGCGUGGGGAGCAAACAGG